UUUUACUGAUUUUGGCGGGAACUUAGUUCAAGUUUGCAUAUGCUUAUUACUGGCUUUUAGGCCAUUCGAUUUGUUGACACAAAGCUUCGAAGGAGAGCGAAAAAAAGCUAGUUAAUGCUAAAUUGCAGAUCACUUCACAGUUCUAAAGUCUCCAGUUUUCUUUUGAUAAACCUCACAGAUCAGGCACGGCGGAGCAGGGGGCGGGCUGGGGGGCUUUAGCCCCCCACUUUUUGCAACAAAUGCCAAAUUUUAAGUAUUACCAGUAACUACCAGAAAAGCCUCUUUUUAUACGGUUUUAGCCCCCCCCCCACAUUUUUUAGACCCCCCACUUUUCUCAACGCUCUGCGGUGCCUGUAGAUGAAAUCCACAUAAAGCAGUUUGGUUAUAAAACACAGCUUGGCAACCAGUUUUACUGCAAAUUUUUAAGGAAAAAAUGAAGGCCGUGCACAUUUUCUUUAAAGCGUUAAUCUAAACCAGGAAGUGUUGGAUAUAGGCAGAUGAAUACUGGUUUGUGUUAUUAUUGGAGAUCAAAGAGAAGAAGAAACAUCCGUUUUGCCUUGCUUCAAGUGCAACAUGUGUGAUGAAUUCCUGAGAGCAAGAAGUUAAUAAGGUCAACAUGUCAAGUGUGGUGAAAUUCCGCAAGCAAGUCAAUGAGAGAGGCUAAACAAGGCCAAAAGGGAAUUUGGGCCUUAUGGAGGUAGUACCUAAAUUCAUUGUGCAGUUUAUUGCAUAUACACAUUUCUUCCAUGCUAUUGACAAAAGAUUGAAGGUCUUUUUACGUUUAAUUUGUAAUAAUCAGCGCCGUUAGAAUUGUUUUUCCUUCCAAUAUGUGACCAUUUUAAAAAUUCUAGAGAUUUACUUUUUAUGGAAAAUCAACACUGAUAAAAAGUCCCAAUUUUUUCAAAAAACAGCUUCCACUGCAUAUCUACAUUGAUUUCUACUCAAUUUUUAUCGUUUUGAGUCAAUUUUUGAGCAAAAAAUCCGCUUCUUAACUUGACCAUUUUUCCAAGACUGUAGACUUACUGUUUAAGGAGAAUUAACAGUAGCAAAAAGUCUUUGUAUAUUUGACGAUUUGGCAAUUAUUCCAGAAGCUUUUUGCUGCAAAGCUUUUGAUCGAUCAUCUUCUUACUUACAUAUCACAAUUAUCUGCAAUCUUUGGCUUACAUUUUCUUACUCAACAGCUCAACAAUCUCGAAAUCAGCAAGGCUGAUUUUACAUUUUAAAUCUUGAUGUGUUUUUUUUACCCUAUGCAAGUUUUUUCUCCACCUCCAGAAGAUGGAAAAGCUGAUCUUAGUCAAAUAAUCUAAAACAAAGAUAAUUGAAAUAUUUAAGAGUAAAAUUUUGGAAGUUUACUUUUGGACAGUCCAAUUUUGAACAUCUUUGUUAGCAAAAAUUAUUCCUUGCCAUAAAAAUAUUUGUUUUGCUAAGACUUGUUUAUUGUAUUUCAAUCAACAAUAACUAUGCCAGAGGUAUAUGGUCUCUGCAAUCUAACGAGAAUACAAAUGCAGCCAAAUCUGCAAGAAUGAUUAAAGCAAUUUUAUAAAAUUUAAUAAACAUAAAAAUGAACAGUAUAAGGGUGAGCCAACGACCAAAAACAAUUAAAAGUGUCUAUAUCGUACAUUUCUUUAAGAGUUUUUUAAACUUUUUCACGUAUCAAAAUUUGUCGAAUUCUUUCUUGCAUUUAGUAAAAUGAUGAAUUACAUAAGAUAUAGAACGCUCAUUUACUUCAUAUAGACUAGUAAAUAUUUAAAAUGAAAAUUUUGGAACUUCCUGCUUGCAAGAAUCGAAUGUUUUUGACACAUUUGGCAAUGGUUUAUCAUAAGAUUUUUUAAAAGCAACCUGAAAAACUUUUUUCAAUAAAUUAUUAUUUUGAUAUGAUAUUAUAUGAAUUUCAAGAAAAUAUUGUCUGUUUCAGUUUUAAUUCCUUUCAUAAAAUUAUGAAAAAUUGUAUCUUUUAUUGUUGUUUUGUUGUUUUGUUGCUUUGGCAGGUGAUGUUGCUUUGGCAAAACUCGCCAGCUUCUUUGUCGAUGGCAUACAUUUGAUAUGAUUCAAAGAGAAGCUGUUUUUUAUUUCAGUAAUUUUCUUGCGUUUAAUGCGAAAAGUGUGGAAUAAUUUGACUUAAAAUGUAGGAACAUCGUUGUUGGUACCAGUUUUCUCAAUCUAUUGGUGUUAUCAUUGUAUGAACAAUUAUCAAUUUAUUAUCGUGAUAGCUGUUAUAAAAAAGAGCCAAAAUUUUAAGGGAUUAACCUCGAUCCUUUAUUUCUUUCAGAUUCCAAUCUGUGUCGAGUUGCAUCUUGUUUUUCAAAAAAGAGAGACUAGAAACCAACAAUAUUUUUGUGCACUGAUUUUGUAAAAUGUGAAGAUCUUUGACAACACAAGCAGUAACCAAAACACCAAAGAGGGUCCAGAGGUGAAAAAUAUGGAUUGCGAAAUUGGACAUUCAAAGAAGUCCCACGAGGUGUACCUCGAUUGUUAGGCGAAGGUUGGAUCAAAGGAUGCAAAACGUGAAGUGAUUCUUACUUAUUUUCAGUACAGAUAUAAAAACAAAAAGAUGGACUCCCAAUUGAUUUCUUUUCAAAACACUGAUAAAACAGGGCGUUGACAACUAUUAAAGAUUAGGGGGUUUAAACAAGCAAAAUAUCAUCAUACAACGUCCUUAGGCCAUUAGAAAUAUAUGUUGAAUAGUUGUACAAUCUUUCACAAGAUCCUACAAACAAAUCCUGAAGAAUCGAGAAAUAUUAAGACUCCGCGCCACCUAAAUAUAUAGAAAAACUGAAGGUCGCAUUAAAUGCACUGGUCAUAAAUUUUGGGAUUUAUUUUUAGCAUAUUCUUAAAUUUUGGGAUAUCAUUUUUAAAAUAAAGGGGGUUUUAUUUACUUGAUUGAGUUGUUGCAUUUUUGCAAAUUUGAAUUAAAUUUAAAGGUGUAUAUUUCAUAUUGUAUCGAAAUUUGUGGGUAGGAUUUUAAAAAUGCAACAACACUGUGAUAUUACAAAAUGGCACACCCCCGUCCUUCGCCUAUUGAAAUUCCCUGUGGUGUGAAGGAGAUCAUCAUUGGCGGGAAAUUUGAAUGAAUUUUGGCGGAAUGGCUGGUGGAUGCACAGGAGACUUUUGUUUCAGAAUUUGGCGGGAAUCUAGUCCAAAUUUGCAUAUGCUUAUAAAUACCUGGUUUCUUUGCUAUUCAAUUAGUUGGCACAAAAGAUCGAAGAUGAGGUGCUGGUGCAAAACUCUCAUGUCUUCAUCUUGGCCUAGAACGGCAUGUAAACCUAGGAUAAUGGAGUGAACACAGAAAAGCGACAAGUUAAAAGUGAUUCGUUGACCCGACGUCAAUCAUAGCUCUUGGCGGGGAACAGGUGACUCUUAGGUGUCAGUUAAAGGUGAAAGAAAAGCUAAUUGGCCCUCAAUGUUACCAUUGGCAACAAAUCUGCAAGUUCAACAUGUCAAGUGUGGCGAAUUCUUGUGAACUAGAGAUCAGUAAGAUCAUUAUCUCAAGUUUUAUGAAGUCUCAUGAGCAAGAUGUUACUAAGGACUAGAAUUUAAGAUGUCUUGGAAUUUAAUGAACACGGUGCCGUCAAGGGUAAACUGCUUGAUGUCAUUAAACAAUAUACUGUUUGUGAAAUACACCCGCAAGAAGGGCAAAGAAUAACAUGCUGCUUGUCUAGAAACAAUCAACUGUUGUUUGUGAAAGUCACCAGCAAAACAUACAAAGGGCUAGCAUUUAAGAUGUCUUGGAAUUGAAUGAAUAAGGUGCCAUUAAGCUCUUCAUUUUGUUUACAAGAGCUGGAUGUCCAUGAGCAAUUAUCUACUGUCUGUGAAGUUCACCUGCAAGACAUGCAAAGGGUAAACUGCUGGUCGUCUGGAAACAAAAAUCUGCUGGUUGGAAAAGUCACCUCGAAAACACUCAAAGGGCAAAUUCUGGCUGUCCAGAAACAAUAAGCUGCUGUUUGUGAAAGUCACCAGCUAAACUUGCAAAGAUGUUGGCGAAAAGAGAGCAAAUGCGAGGAAGAAGCAACCCAAUCAAUCAAACGAAGAUGAUGCCAAAUGUUUUCUGCAUAAUUUCAUUAAGACUUAACAGCCAAAAGGCUAAAGUCAUUUAGAAACUAGAAAUUCAUCAUCAUGAACCGUGGUCCACAUGUAGAAAAGCAAAAGAAUCGUUUACCCGACGGAAACCUUUCAAAUCGCUAGCCAGUUUCAAAAACAUGCCCAGAGAAGGCUUUAAGGUCUCUGAAGUCUUUGAAGAAGCAGAAAGACGUUUUGGUCCACUCUGCAGUUUUGCAAAGAACAAGAAGCAGCAAAAGACGUCAAAUUGAGAUCCAGCUACCAGCAAAAGACGAGAAAGUUGUCGUGCUAGAAAGUUGUCGUGCUUUGGAAACUAGUUGCAAAAAAGAACAAGAAAAGGCAUUUGUCCAGGUGCCCCAGAACAGAUAAAAGCGGGACAUUUCCUUUAGUGUAAAUUACUAUAUGUAUUUUUAGUACAUGUUUCUGGUUCUUCUGGAGAAUUAUUGCAGCAUUUCAAGCACAAACAGUUCUUGUAGUGUAGUUUGUUUUAAUGUUUGGCCUUUUUCUAAUGGCCAGUUUUUUUGCUAGAAAACCACAUGUUUAUCUGGGAAAAACGAUAGAGCAGCAUUUCGAGCACAUGAGACAACGACACAUUAGAACUUUAGAACUUUUUCCAAUUUUCUUCUAGAGACUUUGCAGCGAUUCUUGUAGAGUAAAUUAUUUUGAUAUUUGUCAUUACGUAAAACUUGUUUCUUAAAUCACAUGUCUCCCAAGACUUCUUCAGGAGAGUAACUGUUAGAACUUAUAGGCUUGUAGGCUUUUUGGAAAUCGCUGUUUAUCUUGUAGGCCAUGUUUAUCUUGUAGGCCAUGUUUAUCUUGUAGGCCUUGUUUUUCUGAGUCUUAUUUUUUGCGUCUCUCUCUCGUAUACUUAAACAAAAACACAACAUUCCAAUAACAACAAUACACAGCA